rnacentral:rRNA from 1 species
GACGAACGCUGGCGGCGUGCUUAACACAUGCAAGUCGAACGGAAAGGCCCUGCUUGCAGGGUACUCGAGUGGCGAACGGGUGAGUAACACGUGGGUGAUCUGCCCUGCACUUCGGGAUAAGCCUGGGAAACUGGGUCUAAUACCGGAUAGGAGCCAUUUUUAGUGUGAUGGUUGGAAAGUUUUUUUCGGUGUAGGAUGAGCUUGCGGCCUAUCAGCUUGUUGGUGGGGUAAUGGCCUACCAAGGCGGCGACGGGUAGCCGGCCUGAGAGGGUGGACGGCCACAUUGGGACUGAGAUACGGCCCAGACUCCUACGGGAGGCAGCAGUGGGGAAUAUUGCACAAUGGGCGCAAGCCUGAUGCAGCGACGCCGCGUGGGGGAUGACGGCCUUCGGGUUGUAAACUCCUUUCGCUAGGGACGAAGCUUUUUGGGACGGGACCUAGAUAAGAAGCACCGGCUAACUACGU